AUGGAUAGAGCAGCCAUAAAGUCAGUACUCUUUGUGGAUUACAGUCCUCGGUUGUCCCUAGUGGAGUGCAUGAUUUUUGAGUUACAAAAUGUCGUGCAGUACAGGGGGUGAGGAGGAAGACAGUUAGACAUACCCAAUAGUUUAUAUUAGGAUGUAUUCUUUUUUGUGUGAUAUUUUUGAUGUAUUUUCGGACAAAUGUUAUGUAUGAAUUAUCUUAAUUUUUUU
rnacentral:lncRNA from 1 species